rnacentral:rRNA from 1 species
UACGAAGGGGGCUAGCGUUGUUCGGAAUUACUGGGCGUAAAGCGCGCGCAGGCGGUUCUUCAAGUCAGUGGUGAAAGCCCGGAGCUCAACUCCGGAACUGCCAUUGAAACUGUGGAACUUGAGGAUGAGAGAGGUGAGUGGAAUUCCCAGUGUAGAGGUGAAAUUCGUAGAUAUUGGGAAGAACACCGGUGGCGAAGGCGGCUCACUGGCCCGGUACUGACGCUGAGGUGCGAAAGCGUGGGGAGCAAACAGG